GAGGGUGUAGCUCAAGUGGUAGAGUGUGGGCUUAGCAUGCACAAGGUCCUGAGUUCAAUCCCCAGUACCUCCU
rfam:Camelus ferus unplaced genomic scaffold scaffold1226, whole genome shotgun sequence.